GUCUACGGCCAUACCACCCUGAAUGCGCCUGAUCUCGUCUGAUCUUGGAAGCUAAGGAGGGUCAGGCCUGAUUAGUACUUGGAUAGGAGGUUAAUUUUUAGUACCAAAAGAGGAAGAAGAAA
rnacentral:rRNA from 1 species